rnacentral:misc_RNA from 1 species
GUAGGUGAACCUGCGGAAGGAUCAUUACCAAUGCUCAUCAGCAUUCAUCAAUGUGCACUGUUACCAACACCGCUGCUAGUGGUGCGCGUUAAACCGCGCUGCUGGCGGCCUUUGUGUCUAAACGUUUUGCGUCCAUCUCAAUACAGACUUUUGAAAUUAUAAUCAAAAGACAACUUUUAGCAACGGAUCUCUAGGCUCUU